rnacentral:rRNA from 1 species
GUUCUCCUACGGGGCGCAGCAGUGGGGGAUAUUGGACAAUGGGGGAAACCCUGAUCCAGCGACGCCGCAUGAGUGAAGAAGUAUUUCGGUAUGUAAAGCUCUAUCAGCAGGGAAGAAAGAAAUGACGGUACCUGAGUAAGAAGCCCCGGCUAACUACGUGCCAGCAGCCGCGGUAAUACGUAGGGGGCAAGCGUUAUCCGGAUUUACUGGGUGUAAAGGGAGCGUAGACGGUAUGGCAAGUCUGAAGUGAAAGCCCAGGGCUUAACCCUGGGACUGCUUUGGAAACUGUUAGACUAGAGUGCUGG